UGAUUGAUAAGUUAUGCAACAUUAGUAUGAUACAAAGCAAGGUUGAUAUGACAAUGGCAAACACGUAAUUAUAAUAUUGUUUAUUUUCCUUAGAUGUUAUAUUUCACAUAUUUACAGAAAAGACCAAGAUGUAGGCAAAAAGCUUCAGUAAUUUGACUCCAUUGAGUGCUUUCAGUAAACAAUAGGUUUCCCCAGCAAACAUCUUAUUGCCUUAAUUGAACCUCCUUGAGAAAGAAAAACCACACACUUUGUAAUGUAAAUGUAAUUGUAGUAGACAAUGCUUCUAGGUAAAUAGCACCCCUGGACACGAAGUAAAUGAAAGAAAUACAGGCACUUAACAAGGAAAGGUUGUUUGCACAAACAGUGCUUCAAAUGUAAAUAAACAAGGGUCUUCACAAUGGUCACCAGGGUAGUAAAACUUUGGCGCGUGUUCAGCAGCCAAACAGAGAAUUUACCUUAUUAAAGUCUCUCUGAGCUUCUAAGUGAAAUUAACAGUGGUUUUACUGGCUUUUCCAGUCUGAAGUCUUACCAGGAGUAGAAGCUACAAAGGGAAAUGGACUGCCUUUGAAGAGUGGUGGGCUAGUUGGGAGUGUCAGUAAUCUAGGCCCUGUGGAUGGUCGUAGGCUGUUCCAGUCAUUUUCUCAUCGCAGUGGUUGUAUUUAUGUGUCAAUGCCCAUACAAAUGUUGGCUUGGUGAUGUGGCCCAAUGUAAAGACUUUCAGGGGUUGCAGUGCGGACCUUCAUAACCCCAAAGUGUAUGCCAGGCGUAGUUAUUUUCAAAUUAAACAAAAAUGGCCGUUUAGAGUGCAUCCAGCUGGGACUACUCCAAAACGAGCUUUUCUCACCCUGCUACUGUAAUCCACUCUCUCUGGGCUGAUGACUUUACAGUUUCACUUCUAGUAGGCAUCAAUUAGCUUCCGGGCGCCUCGCUCCUCUGCGUGUCACAUUAAGAGGUAAACAAGCUGAUGAAGUCAUAACUGAGACUGUGGCACCGAGCUGUGUACUGGAAAGUAUACCCCAGCCAAAACAAAAACUCGAAAGAAAGGGUGUUCACCAGGCCCCCGGCCAGACCAAGGAUGUCUCCCAGGGCGGGCAUGAUGGGACUUUCUUGGAAUCAUUUUCUACCAGGUCUCCUUACAUAUUGAAAAAUCUCAACCAAACUUCAGAAGCCAAACUUUAUCCUGGCCAGCAGAUUAAACAGCGGUUCAAAAAAAACACAAAAAAACAAAAAAACCAGCGAGCAGCAAGCAGACCAGUUGGCGCUGCCAUUUGGGAGCCUGCAGAUGUCUGUGGGUGGGAAAUGCCUUUACCUUCUUAAGCGGUGGAGUUGAGUAUGGUGUGUGCACUGGAUGUUUUUUUCAUACCCUACCCUCCAACAGGGCUGUCUGUCAUAGGCUGCCGGCCGCCUUACCCCCUGCCCCCGAGCGUGGGAAUCGGAGCGUCCCGCCGUUCACAUCUCCUCGUUCCGUUUAGCGGAAUCAAUUAGGCAAGACAGACCCUGCGAUUCCCCACCCCCUUUCCAUUUUUGUCAGGUCUAUAUACGUCCUAAUUAUUUCAGUUUGGGAUGCCAGAGCUGUUUCCUGGAUAGACCUGAUCAUCCUUAAACAAAAAGAGAGGAGGCGCCCACGUGGGUUCUGGCGUAAAUGUCACUUUCAUUUCCAAUGCUAGGCGCAGAGUAAGACAGAACAUUUUUUUAACACUUUGACAAGAGAGGAGGCGAUCUCGUCUCCAUCAUGUCUUUCUGCUUCAGUAGCUUCCUCAAGGAAACCCUCUUGGAACAGAGAAGCAUCUGUCCUUGUAUUUUGAAUAGAAGAAUCAAAAUCAGCCUUUGCUUUUUUUUUUUUUUUUUCAUUUUCCCUGCUACUGCUGAGUCCUCAAUAGUUAUAAAUUAUUAACUUUCCAGGAUAAACUUUUCUGAAAGUCUAAUUUCAUAGCAUUUGACAUUUAGCCCAAAUACAUUUAAAGUAGUUUCCAAGCACAAUCUUCAAAUUGGGGGGGAGGGGCCUCGGAGGGGAACUGCCCAAGCCUACAUAAUCAUGGAAUCAUUUUUAAACCAGUUGUCAGAAAUCUCUACAACAGCUAAGAAGAAGAAAAAAAUCCCUCGUAUAUAAACUUUGGCCUUAAAACAGAACACAUUGUACAUGCAUCUUUACCCUGAGCACUAUACAAUUCUUUACAGCCCUAACAACCCUCCCCCAAACCCUGGCACUUUUCAAUUUCAGCAUCUUGUGUCGCUUAAUUUCCUUGUAUCCCACCUUUACUCUUAUAAGGAAAAAGCAAAAAACAAAACAAAAAACAAAAACAAAGUUAGAUUCAAUAAGUAUUCCUGACCUUUCCGGUUUUUACUGUCUCUUGGUUGUAGUCUUUCAUUCUCACGCUGCCCGGCGACCUUGAAGGAGUUUUUACUUUCGGUUAUCUAGCUUUAUGAAGACCAAUACACUCAUACAGCUAGAUAACCAAAGAUAACAACUCGCUUCCCUCAUGCACCUCUGUCUUCCUCCUACCAGACUCCGGAGCUGCCACCGUGAGUAGUCAGUUAUCCAGGACACUUGCCCUUCUUCAGAUUCCUCCUUUUAUGUAAAUAUGACCUGGUUUCUGUUUGUAUAUGUGGGGCUAAAACAUCCAAAUGAGAUCUGUGGCCUUCAGAGUUUAUUCCGAACUUUUUCCCCCUUUCAGCAAGUAAUCUCCGGCAGUGUUAGCCAACAAUUCAUCUAUUAAUAUCAGAAAAUAAAACCAGCUAUUAAGGUGCAGCAAGCUGUUAGGAGUGAGCAGCAGCAGCCAUCCCUUCUGAGGCCUCUAUUUGCAUUGUAAAUUGCUUCGUUCUCACGCACGACUCUUUAGCCUUCCUCUAUAGAGAUGUAAAAAGCCAACGGCAAUUUCCAGCGCAGGUUAAGGAGGAAGGGGGGGGGGGGAAAUCCCGUUCUAUAGAAGUGACCGCGGAUUCAAGGAUCGGCUCCUGAUCCUUUUGGGUUAGGCAGCACGAGCUUUUUUACCAAGCGGUGGCAGCUUGAUUGCACAUAUCUUGUAUGUGAGUGUUUUAGGGGGAAGAUCCUCGAUUUCACAGGGCUUCUAGGCUGGGGAAGACAGAUGCCGUCUUGCUGGUGUGCUGCUGCCCCCGGUCUGAAAGAAGGAGAAAAGGGCCAUCAUUGGAGGGGCUUUCACUGCCAAAUUGUGGACCAGCCUGGCAAGGUCAAAGGCUCCAGACCGCGGGAGACCAAGGUAAUGAUGAUGUCAUGAGAAAUCUCAAGUACAUGGUUAUUGAUAUGCAUCAGUGAUCAGCCAACUGCCCCACGCCUGCCACCGAGCAGCGACAGAAGCAGCAGGAGCAGCCAAGGCAGCAGCAUUGCAAGGAGCCCUAUUUUCUCAAUCAACAUUUCUUCGCUAGCACUACCGACCGCUCCUGGAAAAGCAACCCGCGGCCUUUUACCUCCUCCGUGCUAGUGUAGAUCGUUCUAAUAUCAAAGACUGGAAGAAAUUUCUCUCUAAGGACAGAUAAAAGCAUUUCAGGUCUCCAGAUGGAUAAAACAUGAAUGGAAACAUCCUGGUUUGCUUGGGAAUAAUAAGGUCUGGUGAAGUUAAAAGUAAAAAGUUAUGAUUUUCUACAUAUUUGGAUCAGAAAUAUAUGAUUCCAUAAAUUCAAAUCCACCAGCUUGCAAAGGAGAGGGACUUAAGAA
ensembl:lncRNA